rnacentral:misc_RNA from 1 species
AGAUGGACCAUCUUGGUAACGCAGAAGUGCUGGUCCGCACUUUUCAAUAAAAUGGCCAUACACACACACACACACACGAACCUUGAACCAACCCGGCGUGGCAGUCUCCGGAUUGCCCGCCAACCCAACAUACCGUAGGCAACUGCCAACCAUACCACACACUGUGAACAGAGAGCUAUGACGGACGGGGAUGGAGGCGAGUGGACAUGCUUGUGCCAGCCAGGGGUAACAGCCUGGAUGGAGGAGAGAAGCUCGCAGCCGAUAUCCCGGUCUGGAAACGUCGGACGACGGAAACCACCGAACACAGUCUGGCGGCCUGGAUGAAGGUUUAGCCGGUACUUCAAGGAAUGCAACCGAGAUCCCGUCGACACCAUGAAUUGGCGAGGAAAAUCACAAAUGCAACGAACCCGAGUGUCCAUGUCAGUAUCUAAGGAAGGGAAUACAUGCUUAAUGCGGAAACCUAGGCCUAGUUAACCCUCACACUAUCCUCAUCUCCGAACGCCAGUUUAGCCGCGGGUAAAGGCUCAUCAACCGGUGGGUAUCUAGCCAGCACUAAGGAAUGAUACGAUAAGAGGGAGGGGGAUACUGAUUAUCAUGCUCGCCAACGUCUGGCCCGACGGUAUAAACGGCACGACCCCGUCUGGACCGACGGCACAAAAGCCACCCUCACCCGUCCGCUCGCAGUUGCACCUGCGUUCGGAUGGUCAGCGAAUCUUGGUCCCGAACCACCGAACCCGUCUCUCAGACACCCCGAGAACCGGCGGAGUUGUUUCCGACGAGCUGCGUGCCCUUGACGGGGCGUGCGGCGGGGCGGAGAUAGCUUGCCACCUACCGAACAUGAAACUGUAUUUACUAGAAUGCGAACCCCGAGCACCGGCGGAGCUGCUGGCUGGAAGUGUCUGGCUGCCGUGAAAAGCGGCUGGACAGGGACGGCCGGUAGCCUGCCACCCCUACCUACUAUGAAUCGAGAAAUCUGGCCUGAGAGGCACUGGCGCCGCCAAACACACUAUAGGGAUAACAGGCAACACUUGCCUUAUACUGAACACCGACGUGGGGGACAGACCCCCGAAAAGUACAACUUUUGGCAAUGGAUCUCUCGGUUCUCCCAUCGAUGAAGGACGCAGCGAAUCGCGAUAGUUAUUGUGAAUUGCAGAACGUGAAUCAUUGAAAUUUUGAACGCACUUUGCGCUCGUUUCAGUCUCAACCGCUGGCGAGCAUGCCUGUCUGAGGGCCGCGAAAUACCUUCGGCUAGCUUGUUGAUGUCUGUGAGGACGUCCGAGCGCCGGUUCUGAGGGCUGCCACUGACCCUGGCUCCCUUUAAAUGCAUUAGCGCAAGCGACAUGGGAUGGAUGGCUGGGUACGAACCCCCUCUCCGUGACGAUUUUGAUAGUUUCCGACAUUCGAGAUCGAAGCGUGAAGGUACUCCCGGCUGUUCGAAACCGGUCGCUUACUGUGCUCACAAACCUGCCCGGGAUACUCUAGGCUGCGGGUUAGGGACGGAGGCUGGCGUGGAGCGGAAGGAACGGAGGAGAGUCUGACUGGCUGGGUGGACGGUGCGUGCGGGGAUCCUGGCAACAGGGUCUGUGUGUGUGCCGGAGACUUGGCGGGGCGGAUGAUCGUCUGGGCUGGAUGUUCUGUGCUGGCCGCCGUUUCUGGCCCAGGAAGGAACUGAUUUUUACCGAGUGGAUGACGGAAGCGCGGGCGUGCUGAGCUUUCUGGGUGGAGCGUACGUGCGGGGGAGGGGCUGGCAACAGCGUCUUCUCGGUAUGUGCGGGACGCCUGGGGAAGGGAGGCAGGCCUGCGUGACCGGGAGUCUGCAACGACGGAAAGGACGGUUCUGGAAGCAAUGCAGCCCACCGAUGCCCGUGGAUAUUUCCAAGUAACGGCCUCAGAUCAGGUAGGACUACCCGCUGAACUUAAGCAUAUCAAUAAGCGGAGGAAAAGAAACUAACAAGGAUUCCCCUAGUAACGGCGAGUGAAGAGGGAAAAGCCCAAGAUUGAAAGCUGGCGUCAUUUUCUGGCGUUCCGCAUUGUAAUCUCAAGAAACGUUUAUCCGCUGCGGACCAGGUCGAAGUCUCCUGGAAAGGAGCAUCAUGGAGGGUGAGAAUCCCGUGUGUGACCUGGAGCCACCGCAGUACUGCGAUGCGUUUUUUCUCCGAGUCGAGUUGUUUGAGAAUGCAGCUCAAAAUGGGUGGUAAAUGCCAUCUAAGGCUAAAUACAGGGGAGAAACCGAUAGCGUACAAGUACCGUGAGGGAAAGAUGCAAAGAACUUUGGAAAGAGAGUUAAACAGUAUGUGAAAUUGCCAGAAGGGAAGGGUAGGAAGUCAGAGAUACGGGGAAGCAGGUUCAUCCGGAUGUUUGUAGUGGGCAGACGGAGCAGGCUUGUGUGAUCUGUAGGCCAACGUCGGUUCUCAUGUCGCGGGAAAGCCGGAGCUGGGGAACGUAGCAACUCUUCCGGGAGCUGUGAUUAUAGACCUGCUCGUGUGGACCGGUGACGGGAACCGUGGCUUAGCAGCAUGAUGCUUCGAAGCGGCUGUCCUCUCGGGGGCGGCGGUGGCUGUUGUGUUAGGUCUUCGGACUCUAUUCAUGUUGAAGGCGUUGGCUUAAUGGCCGUCUACCACCCGUCUUGAAACACGGACCAAGGAGUCUAACAUGUCGGCAAGUCUUUGGGCCGCAAACCCGUAGGGCGCAACGAAAGUGAUAACAGGUGGGAACCCCGUGAGAAGGGUGCACCAUCGGCCACGUCCUGAAAAACGGCGCUGUAUUCCGGUACAGGGCCGAGCUUGGAUGUGCGCAAGAGCCGACAUGUUGGGACCCGAAAGAUGGUGAACUAUGCCUGGAUAGGGUGAAGCCAGAGGAAACUCUGGUGGAAGCUCGUAGCGAUUCUGACGUGCAAAUCGAUCGUCGAAUCUGGGUAUAGGGGCGAAAGACUAAUCGAACCAUCUAGUAGCUGGUUCCUGC